rnacentral:rRNA from 1 species
GACGAACGCUGGCGGCGUGCCUAAUACAUGCAAGUAGAACGCAGUUGCGAACGGGUGAGUCACGCGUAGGUAAUUGCCUAAUAGCGGGGGAUAACUAUUGGAAACGAUAGCUCAUACCGCAUACUGCGAGAUGGACAUGCGUUGUAUUAGCUAGUUGGUGAGGUAAAGGCUCACCAAGGCGACGAUACAUCGCCGAACUGAGAGGGUGAGCGGCCACAAUGGGAAUGAGACACGGCCCCGACUCCUACGGGAGGCAGCGGGAGGGAAUCUUCGGCAAUGGUCGGAAGGCUGACCGAGCAACGCCGCGUGAGUGAAGAAGGUUUUCGGAUCGUAAAGCUCUGUUGUUAGAGAACCGGUAACUAACCAGAAAGGGACGGCUAACUACGUGCCAGCCGCCGCGGUAAUUC